rnacentral:rRNA from 1 species
GUGUCAGCCGCCGCGGUAAGACGUAGGGGACGAGCGUUGUCCGGAUUCAUUGGGCGUAAAGCGCGCGCAGGCGGCCGUGUAAGUCGGAUGUGAAAUGCCGGGGCUCAACCCCGGAACUGCAUCCGAUACUGCACGGCUAGAGGUAGGUAGGGGAGAUCGGAAUUCCUGGUGUAGCGGUGAAAUGCGCAGAUAUCAGGAGGAACACCGGUGGCGAAGGCGGAUCUCUGGGCCUUACCUGACGCUCAUGCGCGAAAGCUAGGGGAGCGAACAGGAUUAGAUACCCCCGUAGUCC